rnacentral:lncRNA from 1 species
GGGUCCGGGUCCGGGUCCGGGGCGGCGGCGGCGGGCGCGGUGCAGUGAGCGGGGCUGCCACUGGGGUCAGGGAGCAGGCACCAGGAAACACGGCGGCCACGGAGCGCUGCUCGCACGCACACACACACACACGCACACACACACACCGCGGCUCCUCCCGCCGCCUCGCACUUCACCCCCCCGGGCAGGGAGGGAGGGAGGAAUCGCUGCUGCAUUUCCCAAGUGCGGCAAAGCCUCCCCCCGCCGAGCCCGGGCGCGGAGGCCGGCGAGAGCAGCGGCCGUGCCGGGGUCAGGGCGCGGAGCCGGCCGCGGGGCAGCCCCGGGGCCCGGCCGCGGCGGGCCGAAGGGCGAUUUGCGGAUAACGGCAGUAACGCCGGUCCCCCGCGGGGCUUCGCGCGGUCAGCACCUCCCGGCACCAGGCGCUGAUGCGGGGGUCGGUUCCUGCGGCGGAUGAGCUAAACCUCAGCCGCCGGGAGGAAAAAAACAACAUACAGCAGCGCUACCGGGGGAUUACCAUUUGGGCUGAACAUUAUCCUAGGCUGCAGCAGAAGGACUUUUCCUGUGUUUGCCUUCAUACCGCAUCCAGAGCCCUCAGCACUACAAAUGUGAGCUUGUGGCACAGAAGGAAGACCAAGGAGGAAGUAUGGAUCUGCACAUAG